UAAGCAGUUGAAAAAAAAUUGAAGAAAGAG
rnacentral:piRNA from 1 species